CUCGUGAUCGUCAUUAUAUUAUUAUAUCAUGUGCAUCCUGUUCGAAUACUUAUCCCUUCCUUGGAGAGCAAUUCCGCAGGAAAAUACCGAAUAAAUUAACAAUGGAGAGACGAGCGUUCUUUUUAUUCUCUCGACAAUGUUUACAUUCAAGUUCCAUAUUCUGUAUCGUGUACAAAGAUUUCCUCUCGGAUUGCGUUCGAUUGUCAAAAUGGUGGAGAUUCGAAAAAUUGGAUUUAAAGAAGGUUAACAACAUGGAUCGACUGAUUACUAAAUCUAUUUCUAUUGGUCGGAAAAUAAUUUCGUCCUUUGACACGAGUGUCGCUAGUCGAACGUUCAUCCAGCCAACUUCAUUCUAGACUAGGAAUUAUUGCAUUCGUUGGAAAAUAAUUUCUUUUUUUUCACACCAGUGUCGCUAGUCGAACGUUUAUCCCAGUCAACUUCAUUCCAAAUCGUGUUAUUAUAUAUUUCGAGAACACUGAUGUUUCAUGGUUUAUUUAUUAAGAAAUAUUCGUUCGAUUUCGUGCGUGGUUGCAUUUUUCGUGUGAUUCGUGUGAAAACAAAGAUGAGCAAGGUCAGAAAAAAUAUUUUCGGCAUAUUUUACUUUUUUAUUACCGAAAAGAAUGCUGUUCAGACAAGAAAAAAGUUAUGCAAAGUCUAUGGAGAAGGUGUUAUUAAUAGUAAACCCAGUAUCGAAAACUGGUUUUCAAAAUUUCGUUUCGAUAAUUUCGACAUUAAAGAUGCACGUUCUGAAAGACCAAUUAAAGCUAAUAAAGACAAAUUAAAGGCACUGAUUGAAAUAAAUCGACGAAUAACAAUUCGAGAAAUUGCUACAAGAUUGAAAUUGUCGAAUUCGACUGUUUAUGAUCACAUGAAACGAUUCGGUGUUUUAUUAUCAUAAAAAAAAACAAAAUUACUUUCCAAUAUUCGGGAUAAACGAAAGUGAGAACGUGUUAUCGAUUGUGAGAUCGAUAGAUGCGAAGAAGAAUCGAGUAAGCAAUCUUUUGGUAAAUAAAUAAACAUAAUUUCACUUCGAUUGGAUUCAUUAUUAUUGAUGAUUUACAGAUUCCGAUUGUUAUUAACAAUCGAAUAUCUGGAACAAAAUCGGCGGGUGUAGACUUGUGUAUGAAAUGAAAUUUGCAAUAUUACCGUGUUAUCAAAAAUGAACAACAAAGGUAACGUUGUGAUCUUGAAAUAAUAACGAAAUUAAAGAGAGAUUUUGAAAUGAUAUUCCGAUUAUCGAUGGAGUUCGCGGCAUUGAAAAUACGAUCGAGACGAUUCAUUGACAUAUUCCACAGAUCCAAAGUUUUUAUCAAAAUGGUGAACUUGGUACCAGGGCUUUCGAAGAACUUUCGAAGAAAGAGUUCAAGUUCGACGAUAAAAUCAAAAUUUAAUAAAACUUAAUCGAAUAAAAAAAAUAAAA